rnacentral:rRNA from 1 species
GUGUGGAAAGCUGAAGGUACUAUACGAAUAAGCACCGGCUAACUCCGUGCCAGCAGCCGCGGUAAUACGGAGGGUGCAAGCGUUAUCCGGAUUUAUUGGGUUUAAAGGGUCCGUAGGCUGAUUUGUAAGUCAGUGGUGAAAUCUCACAGCUUAACUGUGAAACUGCCAUUGAUACUGCAAGUCUUGAGUGUUGUUGAAGUAGCUGGAAUAAGUAGUGUAGCGGUGAAAUGCAUAGAUAUUACUUAGAACACCAAUUGCGAAGGCAGGUUACUAAGCAACAACUGACGCUGAUGGACGAAAGCGUGGGGAGCGAACAGGAUUAGAUACCCUGGUAGUCCACGCCGUAAACGAUGCUAACUCGUUUUUGGGAUGUAAGUUUCAGAGACUAAGCGAAAGUGAUAAGUUAGCCACCUGGGGAGUACGAACGCAAGUUUGAAACUCAAAGGAAUUGACGGGGGCCCGCACAAGCGGUGGAUUAUGUGGUUUAAUUCGAUGAUACGCGAGGAACCUUACCAAGGCUUAAAUGGGAAAUGACAGGCUUAGAAAUAGGCUUUUCUUCGGACAUUUUUCAAGGUGCUGCAUGGUUGUCGUCAGCUCGUGCCGUGAGGUGUUAGGUUAAGUCCUGCAACGAGCGCAACCCCUGUCACUAGUUGCCAUCAUUAAGUUGGGGACUCUAGUGAGACUGCCUACGCAAGUAGAGAGGAAGGUGGGGAUGACGUCAAAUCAUCACGGCCCUUACGCCUUGGGCCACACACGUAAUACAAUGGCCGGUACAGAGGGCAGCUACACAGUGAUGUGAUGCAAAUCUCGAAAGCCGGUCUCAGUUCGGAUUGGAGUCUGCAACUCGACUCUAUGAAGCUGGAAUCGCUAGUAAUCGCGCAUCAGCCAUGGCGCGGUGAAUACGUUCCCGGGCCUUGUACACACCGCCCGUCAAGCCAUGGAAGUCUGGGGUACCUGAAGUCGGUGACCGUAAAAGGAGCUGCCUAGGGUAAAACAGGUAACUAGGGCUAAGUCGUAACAAGGUAGCCGUACCGGAAGGUGCGGCUGGAACAUCUCAUUUUAGA